rnacentral:rRNA from 1 species
AGAGUUUGAUCCUGGCUCAGGAUGAACGCUGGCGGUCUGCUUAACACAUGCAAGUCGAACGAAGUCUUCGGACUGAGUGGCGGACGGGUGAGUAACACGUGAGAACCUGCCUUAAGGUCGGGGAUAACAGUUGGAAACGACUGCUAAUACCGGAUGUGCCUACGGGUGAAAGAUUUAUUGCCUAAAGAUGGGCUCGCGUCUGAUUAGCUAGUUGGAGUGGUAAUGGCACACCAAGGCGACGAUCAGUAGCUGGUCUGAGAGGAUGAUCAGCCACACUGGGACUGAGACACGGCCCAGACUCCUACGGGAGGCAGCAGUGGGGAAUUUUCCGCAAUGGGCGAAAGCCUGACGGAGCAAGACCGCGUGAGGGAGGAAGGCUCUUGGGUUGUAAACCUCUUUUGUCAGGGAAGAACACAAUGACGGUACCUGACGAAUCAGCAUCGGCUAACUCCGUGCCAGCAGCCGCGGUAAUACGGAGGAUGCAAGCGUUAUCCGGAAUUAUUGGGCGUAAAGCGUCCGCAGGUGGUUGUACAAGUCUGCUGUCAAAGCGCGGAGCUUAACUCCGUAAAGGCGGUGGAAACUGUGCGACUAGAGUUCGGUAGGGGUCGCGGGAAUUCCCAGUGUAGCGGUGAAAUGCGUAGAUAUUGGGAAGAACACCGGUGGCGAAAGCGCGCGACUGGACCGAGACUGACACUCAUGGACGAAAGCUAGGGGAGCGAAAGGGAUUAGAUACCCCUGUAGUCCUAGCCGUAAACGAUGGGUACUAGGUGUUGCCCGUAUCGACCCGGGCAGUGCCGUAGCUAACGCGUUAAGUACCCCGCCUGGGGAGUACGCACGCAAGUGUGAAACUCAAAGGAAUUGACGGGGGCCCGCACAAGCGGUGGAGUAUGUGGUUUAAUUCGAUGCAACGCGAAGAACCUUACCAGGGCUUGACAUGUCGCGAAUCCUUGUGAAAGCAGGGAGUGCCUUCGGGAGCGCGAACACAGGUGGUGCAUGGCUGUCGUCAGCUCGUGUCGUGAGAUGUUGGGUUAAGUCCCGCAACGAGCGCAACCCUCGUCGUUAGUUGCCAGCAUUCAGUUGGGCACUCUGACGAGACUGCCGGUGACAAACCGGAGGAAGGUGGGGAUGACGUCAAGUCAGCAUGCCCCUUACGCCCUGGGCUACACACGUACUACAAUGCUUCGGACAAAGGGUUGCAAGUCGGCGACGACAAGCUAAUCUCGUAAACCGAGGCUCAGUUCAGAUUGCAGGCUGCAACUCGCCUGCAUGAAGGCGGAAUCGCUAGUAAUCGCAGGUCAGCAUACUGCGGUGAAUACGUUCCCGGGCCUUGUACACACCGCCCGUCACACCAUGGAAGUUGGCCACGCCCGAAGUCGUUACUCCAACCGUAAGGAGGAGGACGCCGAAGGCAGGGCUGAUGACUGGGGUGAAGUCGUAACAAGGUAGCCGUACCGGAAGGUGUGGCUGGAUCACCUCCUUUUUAGGGAGACCUGCUUCCUCGAGACUGAACCCAUUGAUAUUAAGUCCGAGAGAAGGCAUCCCAAGGUCGAGCGAAGUUUAGACUGCUGGCUUUCAAACUAACUUGGUUCAUUCUUCAGUGGCGGAACCCGAGCUUACAGCUUCGGUCCUGCCCACUGAAUUUUUCCAAUCCACCUGCCAUUGUGAUAAGGGUAGACGUUGGGUUGUUGAGACAAUGUCCUCAACUUAAACAACUUCAGCAACUCAUUUAGUGAUUCAUCUGAUAAACUAGAGAGCCUGCUGGAUCUUUGUCCAGUGAAGAACCUUGAAAACUGCAUAGUUAACUUGUCAGGUAGUUAGUGAAGACUGAGCAAUGCCUCAGUUGAAACUAAUCACAGACACCAAUGUAAGAAAUUGUGGUCAAGCUACAAAGGGCUUACGGUGGAUACCUAGGCACACAGAGGCGAAGA